AGAUGGAGUUAAUUUCCCCCCUACCAUCCCUCACAGUGCUGAGCUUGUGCUGGUGGCUGGAGCGGUGCUGAUAACACAGGGUGCUUUGGCUGGUGCUGAGCAGCGCUCCCACAGCAUCACGGCUGUCUCUCCAGCACUGCCCCCAUCACCGCUAGGCUGGGGGUGGGCAAGGUCUUCGAGGCGACACAGCCAGGACAGCUGACCCAAACUGACCAAAGGGAUAGUCCAUACCGUAUGACUUCUGCUCAGCAACAAAAGCUAAGAGAAAGUGUGUGUGUGGGUGCAUUAAUUAUUAUGACGUUUGUCUUCCAGAGCAGCUACUACAGGUACUGAAGCCCUGCUUCCCAGGAGGUGGCUGGACAUCACCUGCUGAUGGGAGUGCUCUACCUUGGGCUCCUAGCAGUGCCAACUGCCCUGGAUCUACCAAGACAAGCUGAAGGAGACUGUGAUUUAAUGGCAGGACAUUUAAGAGCUGUGCACAUCUUUGCCAGCCCUGGAAGCAUCAGUCUUGUGAUAUCAAGUGGCUGAAGUAAGCCCCAGCUCCUGGAGUCAUGGGAAUUAUUAAUGAUUUUUAAAUCUGAAAGAAAUGUAGCCUUUUCCACUGGAUGGCCACAGGAGGUUUCUCCCAGCUCCAUCCUCUGAGGACAGGGAAAACAUUUCCCUCCUCUGAGCAGCAGCCAGGACAUUGCCACAGGGAGCUGUGCAGGCACUGUCCAAAAAGCAAGGAUUCUCUGGACUUCCUUUAUGGCUGCUGCUGCUUUAAGGAAGGGAACAAUCUCCUUGUCUUGAGUUAAUUUAGGACCUCCAGGUGCUCCAGCAGCAUGGUUCAGGAGUGGACUUUCCCCUUUGCCAAAGGAUGGGUUGCUCUGGCUUUCCUGUGUGGGGACUCAAGGAGACCUGAGAAAAUUUGA